rnacentral:rRNA from 1 species
UACGUAGGGGGCAAGCGUUGUCCGGAAUCAUUGGGCGUAAAGAGCGUGUAGGCGGCCUGGUAAGUCCGCUGUGAAAUCUCGAGGCUCAACUUCGAGCUGUCGGUGGAAACUGUCUGGCUAGAGUCCGGAAGAGGAGAAUGGAAUUCCUGGUGUAGCGGUGAAAUGCGCAGAUAUCAGGAAGAACACCCGUGGCGAAGGCGGUUCUCUGGGACGGUACUGACGCUGAGACGCGAAAGCGUGGGGAGCGAACAGG